AACGAACGCUGGCGGCAUGCCUAACACAUGCAAGUCGAACGAGACCUUCGGGUCUAGUGGCGCACGGGUGCGUAACGCGUGGGAACCUGCCCUUAGGUUCGGAAUAACUCCCCGAAAGGGGUGCUAAUUCCGGAUAAUGUCUUCGGACCAAAGAUUUAUCGCCUUUGGAUGGGCCCGCGUUGGAUUAGCUAGUUGGUAGGGUAAAAGCCUACCAAGGCGACGAUCCAUAGCUGGUCUGAGAGGAUGAUCAGCCACACUGGGACUGAGACACGGCCCAGACUCCUACGGGAGGCAGCAGUGGGGAAUAUUGGACAAUGGGCGAAAGCCUGAUCCAGCAAUGCCGCGUGAGUGAUGAAGGCCUUAGGGUUGUAAAGCUCUUUUACCCGGGAUGAUAAUGACAGUACCGGGAGAAUAAGCGCCGGCUAACUCCGUG
rnacentral:rRNA from 1 species